CUAACCCUUCUUCUCUUUGUUCUCCUCCCUCGUUCUGCUCUGUUUCCAGUUGACUAUCCCUUCUCACCCAAAAUUUAAGUUAAAUAAUGGCAGCAACGAUGGAGGCGGUUGUAAGAUACUUACAUGGUAGUCGUGAAACUUUCAUGUUGGCUUUGGUUGUUGAGGGUCAGCUGGUGUUGAUGAGAAGAAUUAGUGGGUGGAUGAGAGGAAUUAUUUGGUUGAAGAGCAUAUGAGUUUAUUGCAGUUAUUGCUCUAAAGUUAUUUUAAUAUAUGCCAUCUACUCUACUCUGAUGUUUGUUAACAAUCCUAAGGGCCGGAAAUGAACUCUGUAAAGGCAUUUCAAGGCAAUUUCUAUUGUUCCGGUUGCAAGUAUGAAUUGAAGAUGCUGCUUUGGGUUGCAAGUAUGAAGAUAUACGUAUUUGUGUAUGAAUAUUGAAGACGUUGUUCAGGAAGUUAGUGUAUAUCACUUUCAUCUUUAAUGAUAUAUAUAUUUGUGUUACUUUGAAACUUUUGUAACGUUGUAUUGCUUUGAAACCUUUGUAAUUUACAUUGGGUUAUUUUAUAUUGGUUUAAAUUAAUUUUGUUA